AAGGUGGUUCUGCUUCCCCUGGUGGCUCAGCUGGUAAAGAACCCGCCUGCGAUGUGGGAGACCUGGGUUUAAUCCCUGGGUUGGGAAGAUCCCUUGGAGAAAGGAAAGGCCACCCACUCCAGUAUCCUUCCCAGGAGAAUCCCAUAGACAGAGAGGCCAAGAGUCGGACGACUGAGGGACUAAGCCCAGCACAAUAUCUUAAUGGCCUCUGGAAGCAAACUAGAAUCCAAGCCUUAAGCGCCUGGAGGUUAGGAAAUCAAAACCUAAGGACAAUCUGUCAGAAACAGACACUAAUACAAAACUUCAAGAGGGAAAGAACUAAGCCUGACAUGCAGAAUUUUGCCUUUACUUUUUCUCUUUUCAUCGUCCAUCACUUCGGUUUGAGAGGCUAGUUCUGCAGCUGCAUCAUCUGGGCCCAGAUCAUUUGAUGCAGGCAGCAUCCAACUUGAUGAUUCAAUUGACUCAAUGGGUGACUAGACAGUUUUAAAGGCCUUUGUGUCAGCACAGCUCAUUUGUCUGUAUCAGAGGCAAAGGCAGCUCUACAGAUGCUUCAAAUCACCCUCGAAGGCUCUCCCAAGUGGAUUGGACACCAUGAUUUGUCAAAAAAAAAAAAAUAGAACACUACCUGGUAGACUUCUUCCCAAACAAUGGUUCCAGAUGUGAGCUUGAAAAAUGUCCCUUGUGCUUGUUUCAUUUUAAAGCAUGUGGUUAAGACUUUGGCAUGAUUUAUUUGUUGGUUGGACAUGUGGUGGAGCAGAGGGAAGGGGGCAGAAAUUACAUGACGAUUUAAAACGUAACAGAUUUUGUUUGGCACUCCUUGGUGGGAACUUGAAAUCAAAUACAGUAGCAAAGUCAUCCGUCAAGGGCAACUUGCUCUGAUGUCCAAGAGAACCUCCUUAAAAACCUAUAAGUCAUCCGUGUAAGAAAUAGGUGACACUUUCAUUCCUUCCAUUCUUCAUGUCUCGGGGAUAUAAGAUGCAAAGAAUGAGAUCUUGGAUUGUAAAUCAUAGUGACUGGUUGUUAAAUCUGAGACAAGGCCCAUAGGUUAGUCUUUGCGUUCAACAUUAUUCGUUUCCAUCUCUCUUCCCACCCCUGUCACCUCCUGGACGCCUCAGACCCAGUUGGCUUGUUAUCCGCCUUCAUUUAUCUUGGUAUGAAUGACAUAAUGGGAAAUUGUUAAGGCUUGAAGGAAUUGUAAAGAAAUGCUCAGCUGAAAGAUUAAAUGUGGUCCUACCCCCAUUUUGAGGGACUUGUGAUAAAACUUAAUGAUAAACGAGGGGAAGGGGGAGAAAUU
ensembl:lncRNA